GAAGUUUCCUGAUUUGUUCAUACUAAUGAGUCUCUUGGCCCAUCACCCUUGAUUGGACCAGAAUCCUCAUCAGCUUAGAUACUAGGAGAUCAUGGGACCCUGACUUACUUCCCAGAGCUCUUUUCUUCCCACGGCCAUGGAUGGUGUGACAACUGAAAACAGGAACGUCAAACUGAGGGCAGAGGAGGAACUUGGAGGUGCUGGCACAGAGCACCUGCUGCGUACCAGGUUCCAGGGCAGGCGGUUAGUGCGCAUGUCCUUACCCAGAUGUCACAACAGUUCCCAAAGCUCCAGUCCCCAGCAGAAGUUCUGGUUCCUGGGAGGUACUCAAUAAAUAUUUGCUAGUUCCGCUUUUUGGACUGAGACUCGCUGAGUCAGGGGUUCAAAGAGAACAGCCUGAGGAUGGGAGUGGCAGAUGUCAUCUGCGGCAGAUGGUGAUGCCCCAGGGACCAACCGUGGCCUUGAAGAUGCUUCCCUCCACCCCUUCUGGCUCAGAAAUCAAGGUCAGGGGCAGACAACCAAGCUCAGUCCCCUGGGGUCCCGAUCCCAGCCUCUCAACCAGGCCAGCCCUUCCCGACAACAUCACCCGUGUUCCACCCUUGGACUCCACACCAGGCUCAGCAGAGUCUCAGAGGCCAAGGGUGUGAGAAGAAUCAUCCCAGCAUCUGUUAUUAACCAUUAUUUCCAUUCUUUUGGCCGAGCUUCCCCCUCGGCCCCAAAGACUCUGGGUCAGUGUUUCUUUCGGCACAAACGACCGAUUUGCCCAGGCCUCUGUCCAGCCUCACUAAAGAAGAGUAUGAUUAUUAAAAGAACAGAUUUUGCAUUCCAUCUUUACCCCAGAAGACAUUGCCUUGAUCCCUAAAAUAACUCCAGAUCUCCUGGGUGGAACUGGUUCGUUCCUUUUCAUCUUUGCUAUUUUGCAACUGUUUAUGGAGACCAUCACCAUAGCGAUAUUAUCAGAGCAGGUCAAAUGAAACUGCAAACCCUUGGGUUGUUAUUGGUUUUUCCUUUGUACCUCGGAACAUGACUUUUUCACCCCAAACCAGCUCUUUCAUUGCUUAUGAGCACUUCAGUUCUCAGCUCCAAGUCCGGAGCAGCCCCUUCUGACCCGAUUCACAGAGGUGGUCCACACUGGGACGAGGGCUGGAAGCAUUUGAGCUAAAUUUCCAAACUGGAAAACAUAUUUACCAGAAAUCUCCUUUCCUUCAGAUAAAACUUGGGUCAGAGAUUCAGGGUGUUGAAAGAGGCACUAAAUAAAUAAAAAUCUGAAGGACCUUCAGUGUUUGGUCCACGGAACAUGGCUACAGAGUUCAACAAAUAAACACAGCUGGUGCGGGGUGAGCCCGUAGCAAAUGCUUAUCUUCGUGAUUAUUUUUUUUUUUAUGAUCACCAUCUUGGGCAAAAGCCUUCAUUAUAGCAUUCUUAUGCCCUGCCGGUGGGGUUGUGAAUUUGUAUGACUUUCCUAAUCGAGAACUUGGCAGUGGGUAGGAAAGACCUUGACCAUGUGCCCGUCCUUUGAUGCUCACGUCUACUUGUGAGUUCUAAAGAAAUAAUGAGGGAUGUAACCAGAGGAGUACACACAAACACGUUUGUUGCUAAUAAUGGAGACAAACUGGAAAUGACCUGACUGUACAAAGUGAGGGGGCUGCUUUAAAAAAAAAUCAUGGGGCGCCUGGGUGGCACAGCGGUUGAGCAUCUGCCUUCGGCUCAGGGCGUGAUCCCGGUGUUAUG